CAGUUGGAAAAUAAAACAACAAAACAUUAUCCGUAUAAAGCAAUCAUUAAAAGAUUGCCUACCGGAUGUUGCCAAACCGUGUAGGACUUGUGAUAUGUUUGGAAAUUAGCAUACAACAUGAUCACAGGUUCGACACGGUUUGGCAGCAUCCGGUAGGCAAUCUUUUAAUGAUUUCUUUAUACGGAUAAUGUUUUGUUGUUUUAUUUUCCAACUGAUAUCUUUUAAUUUUUCAUUUCAGGAGACUCCGGCUUUGGGCUCGAGCAGGAGUGCUUCACUGACCCGAAUAGAGAAUAUUCAUCCGCGCAUUCGAGAGGGAGUAAUGCGGACAUCACUAGCACCCUUCAUUACUAUGCGGCAAUACACCGUAGACAUGAUUCUGGUGACUGCAUUAGUUGAGCGGUGGAGGCCGAAGACCCACACAUUUAUGUUUCCUGAUGAGGAGUGCACAAUAACGCUUCAGGACAUAUCGAUCUUGACGGGACUCCCCAUAAAUGGGAGUGCUGUUACCGGACCUACUAUCAGAGAUUGAGACAGUGUUACUCGCCGACUGCUUGGGAGAGGUAGGAUAGGGUGUAGAAAUUGUUAGGAAUCUUUUGUUAUCACUAGUUGGUUGGUCGGUGAGUUUGAGAGUUUCACACGGAUACCUGAUGCGGCUUCAGAUGAGCAGAUAGACUGGGCAGUUUGGGCGUACUUGUUGUUCCAUCUACACACCUGGUGUUUUUCAGACAUGAACAGCGGGCAGAUCGGACUGAGGAUUCUCCCACAUCUGGAGGACUUGACGGCAUUAGGGAGCAUUAAUUGGGAUUCAGCGGUUCUCGCACACCUUUACCACGAAAUGUGCUCGUGCACUAUGAUUUCGGAGCAUAGGCUCAACAUUGGGGGGCCGAUUUGGAUUAUUCACCUUUGGGCAUUCGAGCGCCUUAGACCGUUCAGGCCGACGUUGAGAUACCCGGCCAUCACACCGCACUUACCGUUAGGUGACAGAUGGGCGGGUCCGCUAAAUUUUCGACGGGUUCUUCAUCGCAAUUUGGAGGCCAUGAGACUAGCACUUGAUGUACUGCGUUACUCAGAUAUCGAUUGGCAGCCAUACACAGAGGAUGUUAUCAGUCAGCUACAUCCUUAUUUUUUGGAUGGUGCUCAGUUCUGGCGUGCCCGCAUGCCGCUGAUUUACUAUCAUAUUAUCGAGUGGCACCAUCCGGAUAGGUUGAUGCCGCAGUUUGGAUUGCUUCAGCCUAUACCUGAACCCCCUUCCCAGCUCCACAUCCACCACACCAUCCAGUUUCGGGGGAGCUCAAACUUCCGAAACACUUUUAGAGAGUAUGUCGCGAUAAGGGACUCCAGGGAACUGUAUGUGUUCCAAGGCCCGUUGUUGGACCAUCCGCCCCACUUCCAUUCAGAGUACAUGGAGUGGUACAGACGCAUCAGCAAGAGAUGAAUUAUCCAUCACGGGGCAGAGACUGGAUCAGCUCGUGAUGCCAUGGAGAGGAUUCACUUACAGUCAGAGGCAGGGUCGAGUAUUGGUACUUACGCUCGUAGUCACCAGUUAGGCACCAUGGAGGACCGGAGGGACACACAGUGGCCACCACCAGAGCCUGUUGUUCCGCCACAGCCAUUGCCUCAUAUAGAUCCCCCGACGGUCGACGUACAGCGUAUACGAGGUCGUCGUCGGGGCAGAGCCAGACCUCAUGAGGAGACACGCGAGAUGCCGGCGAACCCUAUGCCACCACCGGUCGACUUUCACGGGGAUACCGAGGAUUUCAUCCGACAGUAUUACGGUCCACGACGUAUUACGGGAGCACCUCAGCGCAGACACAGUGCCCACCAGCUGCAUCCUUUUCGGUACCACCUACGGACCCUCUCCCGGCACAGGAUGAUUUAUUUGGGGAUACCGAGAACUUCAUUGGCCGGUAUCCUGCUUCGUCUUUUACGGUACCGCCUUCGUCUGUACCCUAUGUAGGCCCGUCAUUUGGGCAGGCAGAUUACAUUACGCCGCUGGCCACGCCUCCUCCACAGUUCUCCCAGCAUCCGGAUUCUGCUUUUACCCCGUUUCAGGCGACUCCGACGGCGCAGACACCUCAUCCUCAGACACCUACAUAUAUGCCGACUGUUCCAGUAUUUGAUGAUUCUUGGAACUUUACCUCCCUGACCACUCCUCCCUCACAGCGGUCUCGACUUUUUGAGGGCUACAUACCGACGCCGCCAAGUCAAGAUUCGGACUCCUCUUCUCGCCCGACUCAGACUCCCUCCUAGAUGCACUUUUCUCUUGAUGACCCUUGGAUCUACAAUUUGGUUCAGGACCCACAGCCGUUUAGUGACUUUCGAGGAAUGCAGACUCCUUCUUUUUCUCUGGGAUUAGGGUUAGACCCCUCCUCACAGGCUCCUGCUCCUGAUGUACAUGAUGAUGACGAGAUUGAGGAUGUGGACAGUCCAACCGGCGAUAGUCGCGAGAGAAGCACCAGACCAGAUGGAAGACGUUACCGCCGAUUGAAUGAUAGUCAGAUGAGUCAACGUGUCAACAAGGGUUACGACUUGAGGACAUGCUUACGGACUCAUGAUAGAUCAGACUUUACUGAGUAGUUUUAUCAUUUUUGUACAAAUUUUUAUGGAUGCAUUAUUAAUUUAUUUUCGGUUACUUUUAAUUGUGUUGUAUGUUUUUUUAUAAUUAUGUAUAUUUCCAUUAUUAAUUUAUCUUUAUCGCUAAA